rnacentral:rRNA from 1 species
GACGGAGGGUGCGAGCGUUGUUCGGAUUGACUGGGCGUAAAGAGCGUGUAGGCGGCUAGAUAGGUCCGUUGUGAAAACUCGAGGCUCAACCUCGAGACGUCGAUGGAAACCAUCUGGCUAGAGUCCGGAAGAGGAGAGUGGAAUUCCUGGUGUAGCGGUGAAAUGCGCAGAUAUCAGGAAGAACACCCGUGGCGAAGGCGGCUCUCUGGUACGUGACUGACGCUGAGACGCGAAAGCGUGGGGAGCAAACAGG